UGCAAUGUAGUGUAGAGAUGCACGAAGAUUUUUGGAUUCUUAAGUAAUGGUUUUUGGCCAUUCCUUGCAG
rnacentral:tRNA from 1 species